rnacentral:rRNA from 1 species
AGCAGCCGCGGUAAUUCCAGCUCCAAUAGCGUAUAUUAAAGUUGCUGCAGUUAAAAAGCUCGUAGUUGAAUUUCGGGACCAAUAUGUCGGUCGUGCCUCGGUACGUACUGGCAUCGUUGGUUUCUCCCUUCUGACGAACCAUGAUGUCAUUCAUUUGGUGUCGUGGGGAAUCAGGACUGUUACUUUGAAAAAAUUAGAGUGUUUAAAGCAGGCUCACGCUUGAAUACAUUAGCAUGGAAUAAUGAAAUAGGACGUUUGAUUCUAUUUUGUUGGUUUCUAGGAUCGACGUAAUGAUUAAUAGGGAUAGUUGGGGGCAUUAGUAUUCAAUUGUCAGAGGUGAAAUUCUUGGAUUUAUUGAAGACUAACUACUGCGAAAGCAUUUGCCAAGGAUGUUUUCAUUAAUCAAGAACGAAAGUUAGGGGAUCGAAGACGAUCAGAUACCGUCGUAGUCUUAACCAUAAACUAUGCCGACUAGGGAUCGGAUGAUGUUAAUUUUUUAAUGACUCA